CCUACGGGUGGCAGCAGUGAGGAAUAUUGGUCAAUGGGCGCGAGCCUGAACCAGCCAAGUAGCGUGAAGGAUGACUGCCCUACGGGUUGUAAACUUCUUUUAUAAAGGAAUAAAGUGAUGCACGUGCGCUUUUUUGUAUGUACUUUAUGAAUACGGAUCGGCUAACUCCGUGCCAGCAGCGGCGGUAAUACGGAGGAUCUGAGCGUUCUCCGGAUUUAUUGGGUUUAAAGGGAGCGUAGAUGGUUUGUUAAGUCAGUUGUGAAAGUUUACGGCUCAACCGUAAACGUGCAAUUGAUACUGGCAGUCUUGAGUACAGUUGAGGUAAGCGGAAUUCGUGGUGUAGCGGUGAAAUGCUUAGAUAUCACGAAGAACUCCGAUUGCGAAGGCAGCUUACUAACCUGCCACUGACAUUGAUGCGCGAAAGUGUGGGUAUCAAACAGGAUUAGAUACCCCAGUAGUC
rnacentral:rRNA from 1 species